CCCCUCGACAGUUAUUUCAGGAGUCAGCACAGGCAGCCGGCAAGGAAGGUGUCCUGUUCCAGCCUCAGCAUCGGUAUGUGACAGAUGAACCUCAGCCAAACCGCACACAGAAUACCCGAGCUGGCCUGGAGCAGAGAUCAGAGCUGGACGACCCUGCACACUUGUAACAAGGAACUUCUUGUACUCACUCAAAAUGAUUUUUGACAUACUGCUACCCACUUCCCAUUGCAUUUCUUUGUCCGCACUGUUGCUGUUUCAUUCCCCAAGGCCACAGCAGAAUCCCCAUAAGAGAUUUUACCUUCACGUCAUUUUAGUGUACAAAAAUCCCAAGUCACCUUUUCACAGACAGCUGUAAAGAGGAUCACCAGUUGAAAGAAAUACAAGAAUAACCUGUUUCACAACCCCAUAAAGACAAAAUGUGAGGUAUCUCUACAUGCCAAAUGCUGGACACUCUAGCCAGGCAAUUCCAAAAGCCAGUGAGAAGCAGCCAAGCCACUCAUCAGAAAACGGCCAGAAAUAACUAACCGGACAAGACUGAAGUGCGAACAGUGUCUGGAGGACAAGUCAGAGGAAAAAAAAAAAAUCAGAAACUUCUGUAAAUCAGGAAUUUUACAUAUUGUUUUUAUUCAAAAAAUUUGAAUAAAACACAGGCCUUCAUGCCACAAGCACACAGGCACCACCAACUGCUUUGAUCUUCUCCUCUGCUCUUCUGCUGAAGAACUUUGCUUUCACAAUUACAGGCUGCUUGGGCAGUUUCCCCUUACCCAGGACUUUGUAAUAGCCCUAGAAAAUUAAAAAAAAAAACAAACAACAAA